GACGAACGCUGGCGGCGUGCUUAACACAUGCAAGUCGAACGGAAAGGCCCUGCUUUUGUGGGGUGCUCGAGUGGCGAACGGGUGAGUAACACGUGAGUAACCUGCCCUUGACUUUGGGAUAACUUCAGGAAACUGGGGCUAAUACCGGAUAGGAGCUCCUGCUGCAUGGUGGGGGUUGGAAAGUUUCGGCGGUUGGGGAUGGACUCGCGGCUUAUCAGCUUGUUGGUGGGGUAGUGGCUUACCAAGGCUUUGACGGGUAGCCGGCCUGAGAGGGUGACCGGCCACAUGGGGACUGAGAUACGGCCCAGCCUCCUACGGGAGGCAGCAGUGGGGAAUAUUGCACAAUGGGCGGAAGCCUGAUGCAGCAACGCCGCGUGCGGGAUGACGGCCUUCGGGUUGUAAACCGCUUUCGCCUGUGACGAAGCGUGAGUGACGGUAAUGGGUAAAGAAGCACCGGCUAACUACGUG
rnacentral:rRNA from 1 species